rnacentral:other from 1 species
GGUUUCCUGGGGUGUGCGUCACAUUUCGUUUAUUUAAACCCACAGUUUGAAUACGGGAAUCCAGGUCUUUUCACACUCGGUCAAGCCCCCUUUGAGGGGACGGCUUAGCUGAGAAGCAGGAUACCCACCUGCCGCGAGGCGGGUGUUAAAUGCGGGAUGAGCGGCAUCUUGGGAACGG